rnacentral:rRNA from 1 species
AACGAACGCUGGCGGCAUGCCUAACACAUGCAAGUCGAACGAGAUCUUCGGGUCUAGUGGCGCACGGGUGCGUAACGCGUGGGAAUCUGCCCUUUGGUUCGGAAUAAUAGUUGGAAACGACUGCUAAUACCGGAUGAUGACGAAAGUCCAAAGAUUUAUCGGCAGAGGAUGAGCCCGCGUAGGAUUAGCUAGUUGGUGUGGUAAAGGCGCACCAAGGCGACGAUCCUUAGCUGGUCUGAGAGGAUGAUCAGCCACACUGGGACUGAGACACGGCCCAGACUCCUACGGGAGGCAGCAGUGGGGAAUAUUGGACAAUGGGCGAAAGCCUGAUCCAGCAAUGCCGCGUGAGUGAUGAAGGCCUUAGGGUUGUAAAGCUCUUUUACCCGGGAUGAUAAUGACAGUACCGGGAGAAUAAGUUCCGGCUAACUCCGUGCCAGCCGCCGCCGUAA